AACGAACGUUGGCGGCGUGGAUUAGGCAUGCAAGUCGAACGCGAAUCCCUGGGCAACUGGGGAGGAGAGUGGCGAAAGGGGCAGUAAGGCGUGGGUAACCUACCCUCCGGGCCGGGAUAGCUUCGGGAAACUGAAGGUAAUACCGGGCGACGCAGCGAGAUCGCAUGGUCUUGCUGCCAAAGGUCCGCCGCCGGGGGAGGGGCUCACGUGGUAUUAGCUAGACGGCGGGGUAACGGCCCACCGUGGCAAAGAUGCCUAGCAGGUGUGAGAGCACGCCCUGCGCCACUGGCACUGAGACACUGGCCAGACACCUACGGGUGGCUGCAGUCGAGGAUCUUCGGCAAUGGGCGCAAGCCUGACCGAGCGACGCCGCGUGUGCGAUGAAGGCCUUCGGGUUGUAAAGCACUGUCGAGGGGGAGGAAGCCGCAAGGUUGACCUAUCCCUGGAGGAAGCACGGGCUAAGUUCGUG
rnacentral:rRNA from 1 species